CUUAGGACAGAGUGAAGCUAGGACCUUGGGGGUCUUAGUGGCCUCCCCUACAGACUCUCUACAGAGACUUUUUCGAGGAGCUAAAAUUGAGCUAAAAUUGAGGAAUAUAAAUCUGGAGCUGAGUCUAUGCAGAGUGGACAUGUAGAUGCUGAUGGUGGGGGAAGCUAGGAACAGGACUCCACUUAUAGAACCUGGGCAAGUUUGCCCGUACAACUCUCCUCCUUCCAAGCCUUCAAGAGCCUCCACAGUUCUCCAGAUGAAGAUGAUGACGUCUGAACUCCUUGCACCUGACUCGUGGGAUUGUAGUGAGGAGAAAGAGGCGAUGCAUGCACACGAAGCAUCUGGACUGUGGGUGGGGCGUUUAGGCUUACAAUGAACAACACUCACUAUGGUAUGUUAUGAUAUGAUUUACAACAUGUUGCCAUUAUACCAUAAACUGUCCCCUCACGUG